rnacentral:rRNA from 1 species
GAUGAACGCUGGCGGCGUGCCUAAUACAUGCAAGUCGAGCGAACAGACGAGGAGCUUGCUCCUCUGACGUUAGCGGCGGACGGGUGAGUAACACGUGGAUAACCUACCUAUAAGACUGGGAUAACUUCGGGAAACCGGAGCUAAUACCGGAUAAUAUAUUGAACCGCAUGGUUCAAUAGUGAAAGACGGUUUUGCUGUCACUUAUAGAUGGAUCCGCGCCGCAUUAGCUAGUUGGUAAGGUAACGGCUUACCAAGGCAACGAUGGGUAGCCGACCUGAGAGCGUGAUCGGCCACACUGGAAGUGAGACACGGUCCAGACUCCUGCGCGAGGAAGCAGUAGGGAAUCUUACGCAAGGGGCGAGAGCCUGACGGAGCAACGCCGCGUGAGUGAUGAAGGUCUUCGGAUCGUAGAGCUCUGUUAUUAGGAAAGAACAAAUGUGUAAGUAACUAUGCACGUCUUGACGGUACCUAAUCAGAAAGCCACGGCUAACUACGUG